AGCUAAUAGAUACCCGGGUAGUCCACGCCCUAAACGAUGUCUACUAGUUGUUGGUGGAGUAAAAUCCAUGAGUAAACGCAGCUAAACGCGUGAAGUAGACCGCCUGGGGAGUACGGUCGCAAGAUUAAAACUCAAAGGAAUUGACGGGGGCCCGCACAAGCGGUGGAUUAUGUGGAUUAAAUUCGAUGCAACGCGAAAAACCUUACCUGGCCUUGACAUGCCACUAACGAAGCAGAGAUGCAUUAGGUGCCCGUAAGGGAAAGUGGACACAGGUGCUGCAUGGCUGUCGUCGGCUCGUGUCGUGAGAUGUUGGGUUAAGUCCCGCAACGAGCGCAACCCUUGCCAUUAAUUGCCAUCAUUUAGUUGGGCACUUUAAUGGGACUGCCGGUGACAAACCGGAGGAAGGUGGGGAUGACGUCAAGUCCUCAUGGCCCUUAUGGCCAGGGCUUCACACGUAAUACAAUGGUCGGUACAGAGAGUUGCCAACCCGCGAGGGGAGCUAAUCUCAGAAAGCCGAUCGUAGUCCGGAUUGUUCU
rnacentral:rRNA from 1 species